rnacentral:rRNA from 1 species
GACGAACGCUGGCGGCGUGCUUAACACAUGCAAGUCGAACGAUGAAGCUGGAGCUUGCUCUGGCGGAUUAGUGGCGAACGGGUGAGUAACACGUGAGAAAUCUGCCCUUGACUCUGGGAUAACUGCGGGAAACUGUAGCUAAUACCGGAUACUUUCCCUGGUGGGCAUCCACUGGGGAAGAAAGAAUUUCGGUCAAGGAUGAUCUCGCGGCCUAUCAGCUUGCUGGUGAGGUAAUGGCUCACCAAGGCGACGACGGGUAGCCGGCCUGAGAGGGUGACCGGCCACACUGGGACUGAGACACGGCCCAGACUCCAACGGGAGGCAGCAGGGGGGAAGAUUGCACAAUGGGCGCAAGCCUGAUGCAGCAACGCCGCGUGAGGGAUGAAGGCCUUCGGGUUGUAAACCUCUUUUAGCAGGGAAGAAGCGAAAGUGACGGUACCUGCAGAAAAAGCACCGGCUAACUACGUGCCAGCCGCCGCCGUAA